GUGUUCACUUAGGCAGCACAUAUACUAAAAUAGAAACAAUGCAGAGAAGAUUAGCAUGGACCCUGUACAAGGAUGAUAUACAAAUUAAUGAAGUGUUCCAUAUUUUU
ensembl:snRNA U6 U6 spliceosomal RNA